rnacentral:rRNA from 1 species
AAUGAUUCCCUCCGUAACGGCGAGCGAAGAGGGAUAAGCUCAAAUUUUAAAUCUGUUGGGUUCCACUUAACAGAGUUGUAUUUUGAAGAAACGUUUUCUGCAUCCAGGAUUAGCCUAAAUCCUUUGGGAUAAGGUAUCAUGGAGGGUGAGAAUCCCGUUCAUGGUUAAUCUUAAGGAAGCUCUACGAUACGUUUUCCAAGAGUCGAGUUGUUUGGGAUUGCAGCUCAAAAUGGGAGGUAAAUUUCUCCUAAGGCUAAAUAUUGGCGAGAGACCGAUAGCGAACAAGUACCGUGAGGGAAAGAUGAAAAGAACUUUGAAAAGAGAGUUAAACAGUACGUGAAAUUGUUGAAAGGGAAACGAUUGAAG